rnacentral:misc_RNA from 1 species
GAAAUGCGAUAAUUAAUGUGAAUUGCAGAAUUCAGUGAAUCAUCGAGUCUUUGAACGCACAUUGCGCCCCCUGUAUUCCGGGGGGCAUGCCUGUCCGAGCGUCAUUGCUGCCCUCAAGCACGGCUUGUGUGUUGGGCUUCCGUCCCUGGCAACGGGGACGGGCCCAAAAGGCAGUGGCGGCACCAUGUCUGGUCCUCGAGCGUAUGGGGCUUUGUCACCCGCUCCCGUAGGUCCAGCUGGCAGCUAGCCUCGCAACCAAUCUUUUUAACCAGGUUGACCUCGGAUCAGGUAGGGAUACCCGCUGAACUUAAGC